rnacentral:rRNA from 1 species
GUGAGGAAUAUUGCGCAAUGGAGGCAACUCUGACGCAGCCAUGCCGCGUGCAGGAAGAAGGCGCUACGCGUUGUAAACUGCUUUUAACCGGGAAGAAACCCCAGGACGUGUCCUGGGUUGACGGUACCGGAGGAAUAAGCACCGGCUAACUUCGUGCCAGCAGCCGCGGUAAUACGAAGGGUGCAAGCGUUAUCCGGAUUCAUUGGGUUUAAAGGGUGCGUAGGCGGAGCGUUAAGUCAGUGGUGAAAUCCUGCAGCUUAACUGUAGACUUGCCAUUGAUACUGGCGCUCUUGAGUGCGCUUGAAGUGGGCGGAAUGUGCCGUGUAGCGGUGAAAUGCUUAGAUAUGGCACAGAACACCAAUUGCGAAGGCAGCUCACUAAGGCGAUACUGACGCUCAUGCACGAAAGCGUGGGGAGCAAACAGGAUUAGAAACCCGUGUAGUCC